GUUCUCCCCGAAAGCUAUUUAGGUAGCGCCUCGUGAACUCAUCUUCGGGGGUAGAGCACUGUUUCGACUAGGGGGUCAUCCCGACUUACCAACUCGAUGCAAACUACGAAUACCGAAGAAUGUUAUCACGGGAGACACACGGCGGGUGCUAACGUUCGUCGUGAAGAGGGAAACAACCCAGACCGCCAGCUAAGGUCCCAAAGUCAUAGUUAAGUGGGAAACGAAGUGGGAAGGCUCAGACAGCCAGGAUGUUGGCUUAGAAGCAGCCAUCAUUUAAAGAAAGCGUAAUAGCUCACUGGUCGAGUCGGCCUGCGCGGAAGAUGUAACGGGGCUAAACUAUGCACCGAAGCUGCGGCAGCGAUAUGUAAAUAUUGUUGGGUAGGGGAGCGU
rnacentral:rRNA from 1 species